CCAUUCAUAACCUCUUACAUCACAGUAAUGUAAAUAUAUUUGUGCCGACAGCAAUCUUUAUCGGCAGUUAAUCAAAGGAUAAGGUUAUAUUAUACUUGAAUAGUGAGGAACAGUCACAAACACGGUUUGAUAAUAAGAGAAUCAUGAUGGCUCGACCUUUAUCUCUUCUAGUUUUGAUUUUUGUUACUGUGGAGGCUGCAGUAAUUCGACCAUAUAAUGUACAGAUUUACUGUCCUGAACAUCCGAAUGAAUAUGCUGUGAGUUU